rnacentral:rRNA from 1 species
GACGAACGCUGGCGGCGUGCCUAAUACAUGCAAGUCGAACGCUUCUUUCCUCCCGAGUGCUUGCACUCAAUUGGAAAGAGGAGUGGCGGACGGGUGAGUAACACGUGGGUAACCUACCCAUCAGAGGGGGAUAACACUUGGAAACAGGUGCUAAUACCGCAUAACAGUUUAUGCCGCAUGGCAUAAGAGUGAAAGGCGCUUUCGGGUGUCGUUGAUGGAUGGACCCGCGGUGCAUUAGCUAGUUGGUGAGGUAACGGCUCACCAAGGCCACGAUGCAUAGCCGACCUGAGAGGGUGAUCGGCCACACUGGGACUGAGACACGGCCCAGACUCCUACGGGAGGCAGCAGUAGGGAAUCUUCGGCAAUGGACGAAAGUCUGACCGAGCAACGCCGCGUGAGUGAAGAAGGUUUUCGGAUCGUAAAACUCUGUUGUUAGAGAAGAACAAGGACGUUAGUAACUGAACGCCCCCUGACGGUAUCUAACCAGAAAGCCACGGCUAACUACGUG